rnacentral:rRNA from 1 species
UACAGAGGGUGCGAGCGUUAAUCGGAAUUACCGGGCGUAAAGCGCACGUAGGCGGCUUGGUAUGUCGGGUGUGAAAUCCCCGGGCUCAACCUGGGAACUGCAUCCGAAACUGCCUUGCUCGAGUAUGGGAGAGGGAAGUGGAAUUUCCGGUGUAGCGGUGAAAUGCGUAGAUAUCGGAAGGAACAUCAGUGGCGAAGGCGACUUCCUGGACCAAUACUGACGCUCAGGUGCGAAAGCGUGGGGAGCAAACAGG